rnacentral:rRNA from 1 species
UAGUCCUACGGGGCGCAGCAGUAGGGAAUCUUCCACAAUGGGCGAAAGCCUGAUGGAGCAACGCCGCGUGGGUGAAGAAGGUCUUCGGAUCGUAAAACCCUGUUGUUAGAGAAGAAAGUGCGUGAGAGUAACUGUUCACGUUUCGACGGUAUCUAACCAGAAAGCCACGGCUAACUACGUGCCAGCAGCCGCGGUAAUACGUAGGUGGCAAGCGUUAUCCGGAUUUAUUGGGCGUAAAGGGAACGCAGGCGGUCUUUUAGGUCUGAUGUGAAAGCCUUCGGCUCAACCGGAGAAUGGCAUCAGAA